rnacentral:rRNA from 1 species
CCCUUAGAUGUUCUGGGCUGCACGCGCGCUACACUGAUGCGCUCAACGAGUUUUAACCUUGCCCGAUAGGGUUGGGUAAUCUUUUUAAAAUGCAUCGUGAUGGGGAUAGAUUAUUGCAAUUAUUAAUCUUCAACGAGGAAUUCCUAGUAAGCGCGAGUCAUCAGCUCGUGCUGAUUACGUCCCUGCCCUUUGUACACACCGCCCGUCGCUCCUACCGAUUGAGUGCUCAGGUGAAUAAUUCGGACUGCAGCAAUGUUUGGAUCCCGAACGUUGCAGCGGAAAGUUUAGUGAACCUUAUCACUUAGAGGAAGGAGAAGUCGUAACA